rnacentral:lncRNA from 1 species
GGCUUUUCGCCCCGCCUCGUUUCUGCGGGAGGUGGUUGCCCUCAGGCAGCCCGGGCUCAGGCCUCUGGGAGGCGGCUUAAAGCUUUGCCUGCGCCCGCGGCCCCGUGCCGGCUGCGGAUCCCCCCACGAUCAAGGCCAAGCGUCUCUGAAUUUUCAGAGUAAAUACCUUAGAAUUGGGAAAGCCAUCGCCACGGAGAUGGGGGAUACCAAGAAGGGAAGGAAAAAAAAGCGAGGGGGAUUGAUUCCUGCACAGCUGAUUUUCCACAUAGAUAAUAGCCUAUGUUGCUGCAUACAAGAACAACCUGAUUUCAGGCAAGCAGGAGUAUGAGACGUUUAUUGCCACAAUCAAGAAUGACCAAAAGAACGCAUUUUUUUCUUCGUGGGAGAUUAAAAGUUCUGGCAUCUGAGCCCACAGCUCUGUUAUACUACAGGAAAAGAGCAGUAGAGUUUGAAGACAAGAUAAAGGCUGUUGAGAAGAUUUCUACAAAAAGUCAAAAUCUGAUACUGAGAAUUCAAAAUGUAAGAAAGGCACCCUCUAAAAACUUUGACACCCUAGGGAAAACAGUAAAUUCCGCUAAGCGUACCCCAGGUUCAGUGAAUUACUUUCAAGUGGUCAGUAUGAUGCAGCAGCAACUUCUGCAGCAAACUCUUCUAGAGGAAUUCUCCUUAAUGAAGAAACUCUGA